AACACGCUCCUUAGAUCCACCUCUGGAGGAUGCUGUUCUCUGAGCAGUGCUCCUCAGCAGCUUGCUGGCUGUACAGUUGGAGGUGCUUGAGUCAUUGGCGUGUGAGAACAGUCUACCUGUCCUUCAGCCCACCCGCAGCACUGGCAACCCUGUCCUCUACAGGCAGGGAGCUCCUGGUGCUGCAAGCCUGGGGGACAGACAUG
rnacentral:snoRNA from 1 species